CCUGCUCAGGAAGGCAUUUGGGAGAGGAGGUGCCUUCCAGGGAGGCUGCUUGUUGCUUUGGAGACAGCAUGCACUGGAGUUCAGCUGGUGACGCAACGCAGAGGGGAUUUCUGCUUGUGUGGGGCUCUGGGCCAGCAAAAGACAUGAGGGCUGCCAGUGGCUGGAGCAGAACAAGCUGAGGUUGGAACCAAAGUACCAAACCAAAGAGAGAGGCAAAAAGGACCUUUAGAGCCAAGGAGAGAAACAAGAUAUUGAUUAAAUCUUCCAGCAAAGACCC